UUUUUGUCUUUUGGGACUUAAGUGAGCGUGACCAAUUGAUAUCAGGUUCACAUAUUUUUUUUGUUUUAUUUUAAAUGUCACGCUGAUUAAAUCGGAUUUAAGUGGAAUUGGAUCAUGGACCUUGCGUGUUUUCUCUCUCCACGUCCCAGUUUUUUGGGCCCAUUGCGUGUUUAACUAUUUUCCAGUUGAUGUUCACUUUACUGAUGCACCCCCUUUGCCAUUUAGGUCCAAU
rnacentral:lncRNA from 1 species